rnacentral:lncRNA from 10 species
CGUCACAGUGAUUAUAUUUUUUUCAUUAGAUACUGCUUUUGCAAAAAAUAAAGAUGAUGGAAAAUGGUACUAUUUUGAUGACAGUAGUGUCUCCACUGCAUCUGAAGACCAAAUUGUGUCCAAAGCAGCAUAUGUACUCUUCUACCAGAGACAAGACACUUUCAGUGGAACUGGCUUUUUUCCUCUUGACCGAGAAACUAAAGGUGCUUCAGCUGCCACUGGCAUCCCAUUAGAAAGUGAUGAAGAUAGCAAUGAUAAUGACAAUGAUAUAGAAAAUGAAAACUGUAUGCACACUAACUAAUGAAAGUCCUAGAAGCCAUAAAAGAGACACUUUCCUGCUGGUGGUAUCUAUGGAAAUGAUGAAGUUACCCACCACAUUAAAACAAAAGUCUGAGAUGGGGAGUUUCAGAUAACCGAAUGUAAAUCCUUUAUCAGAUUUUAACUUGUGCAGUACUUGAAGUGAAACACAAUGAAAACUUUAACAGAAAUUGUCUCUUAAUACAUUUACAGUCUUGUAUUUACAAGCUAAAUAUAUAUAGGAAAUCACAAAUAAAUCCCUUUUAAGUUUGCUGCUGUUUUGAUU